UACGUAGGGGGCAAGCGUUGUCCGGAAUCAUUGGGCGUAAAGAGCGUGUAGGCGGUCCGGUCAGUCGGUUGUGAAAGUCAAGGGCUCAACCCUUGAAUGCCGGCCGAUACUGCCGGGCUAGAGUCCGGAAGAGGUGAGUGGAAUUCCUGGUGUAGCGGUGAAAUGCGCAGAUAUCAGGAGGAACACCCGUAGCGAAGGCGGCACUCUGGGCCGAUACUGACACUGAGGAGCGAAGGCGUGGGGAGCGAACAGG
rnacentral:rRNA from 1 species